rnacentral:rRNA from 1 species
CCUACGGGUGGCAGCAGUGGGGGAUAUUGCACAAUGGAGGGAACUCUGAUGCAGCGACGCCGCGUGAGGGAAGAAGGAUUUCGGUUUGUAAACCUCUGUCUUCGGUGACGAAACGAGACGGUAGCCGAGGAGGAAGCCACGGCUAACUACGUGCCAGCAGCCGCGGUAAUACGUAGGGGGCAAGCGUUGUCCGGAAUUACUGGGUGUAAAGGGAGCGUAGGCGGGAAAGAAAGUUGAAUGUUUAAGGUACGGGCUAAACCUGUGCAAGCGUUCGAAAAUGUUUAUCUAGAGUGGCGUAGAGGUAAGCGGAAUGCCUAGUGUAGCGGUGAAAUGCGUAAAUAUUAGGAGGAACACCAGUGGCGAAGGCGGCUUACUGGGCCUUAACUGACGCUGAGGCUCGAAAGCGUGGGUAGCAAACAGGAUUAGAUACCCUUGUAGUC